AUUUUUACCCAUUUUUUGCAAAGUGUUUCGUUAGUCAAGUUUAAAUGCUUACUUUCAUCUCCAAUGAAUAUUUUUUUCUCGCUUUUGUAAGAUAAAAUCAUCUCAAGGAUGGUUCCAGUUAUAACCAAGACCAUGAUUACCGUUAGGAUUACACUGAAAAGCCUUGCUUAGUUUGACAAUAGUUGACAUUCACUUCCAUACCAGUUGGCUCAGCAACUAAAAUGGAUUAAUACAGAUGAUAGCUUAAAUGUUUCUUCUCGGACGACUUAUCGAUUGUGACUCAAUUACUUACGGUAGUUGGCUAUCUCUGUGAUCUCUUCCUUGUGACAAGCUGAAGGAAUACAAAGACCGUACCGAAAGGAUAAAAGACUGUUUCUUGACCAAAAUUCUCUGAGUGCCUAAGGAAAAGAAAACAUUUAAUAAGCAUGGAGAUGAACAUGAAAUAUUUAUUUGAUCUAUUAAUAUGGUGGUAUCAUACCCGGCCCCAAACUACAGAAUCUUCCGGAAUAUUUGAUGGUCGUCUUGCUACAUCAAUGUUUUCAUCAAGAGCUGCCUUUAUGUCCAUAACACAAUAUCGACCUUCAAGAUAAUCUCGUUCACCAGAUGAUUUCACAUCAUUUGAAGGAACUUUUAAAUCGAUACAUUGUUCAAAUGAACCAAAAUCAGUGAGAGUUCCUUCCAGAAUUCCGCUCGGAGGCUUACCGGAAGAAUCCAACACUAUUAUUGAAAAAAAAGAAAAUAGAAAGAAGUUAUAAAUAUCGCCGGAUUGUAAUGUUCAAUACAUUUUGCCGUAUUUCAAUAUCGACACAAAAUUUUGCAGAUUAGCAUUAAAUUAAUAUUUUUUUUGCUAAUCACAAAUCAAAAAGAAAGGAUGUUAAGUGUAAAAACUAUCAAGCUGUAAAAGGAGAACAAGGAACAGUGUCAUAAUGGAAUUGGCGAAGAGUUAAUUGACGUUAACCAAACAGGGAGGCCGAUUCUUGAUUCUGAUUUCUUGAAGGCAAAUUUCUCUCUCAUCUGUUUUCUCGAUUUUGAUGGUAGUUUUUGAUGUAUUGAGAAUUGGUAAUGGAUGUUGAUUCUGAUACCGAGACUGAUGCUGAUCAUGUUGAUGUUGAUAAACGUAUAUAAAAUGGGAAAGAACGAGGAAAGCAAGCUUAUUGUAUGUUUGCUGUUGUUUUUUGUUUCAUCACUUGAUUAUCGGGAAGUAAUCAUGUUCAUCUGAAUCAUCAUUAUCAUGAUCAUCUCUAUAUAAUCAUCAGCGACUUGAUAAUGAUGGUCGCCUAAGAUUACAGUGAAAAUCAUACAGUUCUAACAAAUGAUCAGUCCAAAACUGAUUUGCAAAGCGCUAAUAAACAAUAAAGAAAGUCAAAUUGAAUAGGAAAGGAAGCUGUUGAAUUAUCAAACUUGAUUAAGGAUCCAAAACUUUUCAAUUCGGAUAGUCAUUAGACUAAAGCACUGGAUUUAAUGGAUUAGUCAAUUUGAACAAUUGCUUUACUGUUUUAUUUAGCUGAAUAAAACGUUAUCAUCCUACUCCAGCUAGUGACUACAAUUUCAAUUUUUGGUUACAAUUCUAUUAUUAUUGAUGGUGGAAACAAAGUUUACACUGAGUACUUGGAACAUAAUAAUAUGAAAUAUUCAUUGAUGAGGAAAAGAAAUGCAAAGUUAUGAAAAGAUUGUUAAAAAAGGACCAAAAAACAAGAAAUUUGAUAACCAGGAACCAGAACGGUGUGCCUGUUUCUCGAUGCAUUCCAGUAAUGAAGAUAUUGUGCAAAUUUAAAAUCGAGGAUCAAGAAAAAAAUAAAGCUUAAUGAUCAGAUCCAGACUGCAGCCUAACUAUUGAUACAAAGCCAUCUUGAAGAUACCUUCCUGUUAAUCAAAUAAAUCAUUAAAUGAAUGAUCAAAUCAAUCAAGACAACUUCCCAAAGCAACAUCUAAAAUCAGCGACAACAAUAUUCUCAUUUUUAAAUCAAUUAUGGUAACAAUUAAUGCAUCAAUAUGAAAAGCACCGCGAGUUACUUGGAUUCAACAGCGUAAUCAAAGGCUAUUCAACAAAAUCAAAGUUAAGUCGAUUACUUAUUGACGAUUGAAAGAUACAAUUGAAAAUGUAAAACGAAAACCUUUUUGUGUUGAAAGUUUCAAACUCAGGGCAUUAACUCAGAGUAAUAUUAUAUCAUUUUAUCCAAUCAAACCAAUCGACCUUCAACUAUUAAUGAAUAUUAUGUUGUUGAUUAGUGUAUAAAAAACGAAUCAAUCUGAAAUGAUAUUUGAUUGUGCAAGGAAAUUAAUGGCAAUUGAGUUCACUCUAAAUGCAUCGGUUAUAUUGGGUUGUCAAUAAUUAAUCAAAUUGUCUCAUCACAUUUUACCAAACAAUAGAAGAGUUUUUCAUCAGUUUAAUGCUAUUUAAACCCAAUUUACCUUUACUUUUCUUUCUUUCUUUUUUUUCUUUAUCCCUUAAUCUCUCUCUCUUUCCCUGAACCGAAAGUACAGCUCAGUUGGCUAAGCUCACCUUGUUUACAAAACAAAAGCAAUUGGAAGCUAAAGGUCAAGUAUUAACUUGUCAAGAGAAAGUAUAUGUUUGUACUUGACUUCAUGGCCUAGAACUUAAUUAACUUUAUUAAACUGACUCUUUUUUCUCGAUUCUUCUCACAAUUGCAGUUUAUGUCAUGUGGAUUACAAUUUAUGAUUAUAUAAUUGUAUGGACAAAUGAACAAAUUAAUAGAUUAGUAUUUGUUAAUCUUGAAAAUUGCGAUUCCAAAAUCUAAUUCUCUCUUCUUCAAUCUGGUUUCAAUCCUUAUUGCACUGCAUUGAAAACAUGAAAUUACCAUAAUCAUUGCCAUUAACUAUUAAUCAUUUAUAAGCUUACAUUUGUUGUUUGAUUUACAAUUUCUUGAUCUUUCCCUGAACCAGUUCAUUCCUAUUUAAAAAUCAAUUCCAGUCAAAAUCACAAUUCUUUAAUUGUGAAAAAUUUACUUUUUUUUCAUUGAACAAUAACAUAACUCUUUGUCUAUCUUCACACUUAGAUCAACACCCAAAUGAAUGGAGGAUAUCACUUACAAUUAUCAUCAUCGCUGAUUCAAAUUUUUUUGUUAAAUUCUCACAAAUUCUUUCAAUCAAGAAUUGUCAACAUUAAAUCAGCUUUACCGGCGUAAAAUGGUGAAUGGCAAAUCUCAAGCAUCGCCACAACUGGAAUGAAACACACAAGAAAUCAGAUAUCAUCAUCAUUGGUCAAUUUAUUCCAUGGACUGGAGGAUAAGCAAAGAAUUGGCUGUCUGUUAAUUCAUCAUGAAAGUGUAAAAUGGUGGAAACCGGUAAACUAAAUCAGAUUCGAGGUCAAAUUUAAAGAGAUGAUGUUGGCUUAACAAAGUGGACAAGUGAUAAAAGUUUCAAGUAAAAUUUAAAGUGAAAAGGAGUCUUAAUUUGAUUUGGAAAUUAUAAACUGAAUUCAGGUUUACUUUAUGAUUCGCUAAUUGUGACCAUGAUUAACGGCAAUAUUCGCGGUUAAUUAUCUGAUAGAAACUGGCCACCACCAACUUUCUCCUGUUCUUCUUGUUUUUUCUUCUUCAUUUCACUUAAAACCAAAAUAAUACAUAAACAUCACUAUCAUGAUUCUUUUUCUCUUUUUUUCUUCUUCAUUACAGUUUCAAACUGGAAUUAUAUUACACACUGAGAGUGGGACGAGUUGAUCAUCAAUUGAAAAAAUUUAAGCAUUGCUUUUGUUACAAUUCACCUUAAACCUGAGAGAUAAGAUUAUUUUUCACUUUAAUCCUGAUGAUGAGUAAAAUAUUGGAGCAAUUUAUGUAAAUUUAUAAGAUAACUUCAAAGCUUUAUAAUAGGAUGCAUGAGUUUGAAUACUUACUUCUGAAAGCCCAAUCUUUUCCCUGUUGAAGACCGUCUGUUAAAACCAUGAAACUAUUGGCACACUGAGCUGAUACAUUUGCUUCCAUUCCGGUUUGAACUAUUGUUGGUAAAGCUGAUUUUAACAUUUUACCAACAGAUUCUUUCAAGAAAUUAAGAAGCAUUUCCAAAGCUUCCGAUUCUGUUGCUAAAGGCGAUGGAGAAGACAAUGUUGUUGAUUUUGCUUGAGAUGUGACAUUAUCAGAGUCAUCCUCAUUUGAAUCUGUUUUUGAUGAACUAUCAACUUGAGAGUCAUUGGAUGUAGCUACAGAAUCGAGGAUUGUUGAAUCCGACGAUGAUUCAGAUUCAUCUGGCUUAACUGAGCCCAUUUCAAUGGCAGUCAUUGACGAUCUACUUGUAUCUUCGCCUAUCUCAUAAUCGACGGCUGACGAGUCCACAGAGAAAUCGUUUUCCUGUUUAUUGCUUUUUCCAAAUUUGUUUUCAUUGGUGUCAUUAUUACUGGUGCUGAUCAGAUGAUCUGUUGAAAUUUUAUCUGGUUGACUUGAUUCCACUCCAUCUGCUGAUGAGCUUUGAUUGUUUUUACCCUCUUUUGACAGAGACGGAUCCGCUAAACACAGUCCCA